GGGGCUGAGAAUCAUCCCAAUCUUCCCCAUGCACAGCGGGGUGGGCUCAGUAUGUCGGGCCCUGAAAGUAGCCCCACGUGAAGGGCGCCGGCCCUGGGUCUAGUGCGCUGCGAGUUAACCCGGGUGUGCAAUCUUGGCGAGGCCCCCUUGCUGCCUGGGAGGGAUUAGGAACACAGUCAGUCAGCGUCGACUUGCAUUACUGAGCACCUUAUAGGUCGAAGCUUCAGAGCAUUCCUGUGAUCAGAGCCAUAGAAUGUCAGCAGUUCGUUCAUCCGUGCAUGCCAAAUGGAUCGUGGGGAAGGUGAUUGGUACAGCAAUGAAAAAAACUGCUAAAGUGAGAGUGACCAGACUUGUUCUGGAUCCCUACUUAUUAAAGUAUUUUAAUAAGCGGAAAACCUACUUUGCUCAUGACGCCCUUCAGCAGUGCACUGUUGGAGAUAUUGUACUUCUCAAAGCUUUACCU